GCCGCCUCGUAAAAAGGUCUCGUUCUCCGGAGACGAGAGACAGCGAGUUCGAAGUCGAAACCCUAUUCCCAGUCGUAUCGAGAUCGGAUCGCGUACGGUAUAGUUCUCCCCUCGAUCCCCUCCUCUUCUCCCUGAAGAAGGUGACGAUUCAGGUCCCCGGGGAUCUGGCGGUAAGUUAGGCCGGAGGAGGAAGGAUGGGGGAUUUCAACCUGGCUCUGGUGAUCGUGGCGGUGGUGGUGUGCGUGAUGGUUCUCCUCGUCAAUGUCUACCUCCUCGUCAAUUGCCAGCACCCGGACGAUGUCAACCAGGCCUACUUCCCGAAGCUGGUGGUGGUUCUUGGUCUCUCGGUUGCCGCCAUCUCCAUUUUGAUGCUUCCGGCGGACGUUGCCAAUCGCCAGGCUUGUCAGCACGCUAUAUACAGUGGCGCUUGCACUCUCACCCUCCCCAUGAAAGACCUUUGGCUGGCCGUAUACGUCGCCGAUGCCGUCCUUGUGUUCUUGGUCAUACCGUUCGCUAUGUUCUACUACGAGGGCGACCAGGACAAGAGUAUUGGGAAGAGGUUGAAGAGUGCUCUAUUGUGGGUUCUGGCAUCGGCUGUUGUCUGUGGACUUGUGCUUGGGAUUCUUUAUGGACUAGUUGGUAAAGUGGACUUUACAGUUAGGCACCUCUCUUCUUCUGCUACAAGUUUCCCCAGUUCUUGGUCAACAUUCUCAAGUUCUCAACCUUGCAUAGGGUCAACGAAUCAUCUGUGUGAUGCAUAUGGAGCACCCGCUUCUUCUGAAACAACCUGGACAAUGCAAACCACCUUUCCAGAAUAUGUGGUUGCACUUGCAACAAUUGUUGGAUCAGUGCUUUUUACUAUAUUUGGUGGUGUGGGGAUUGCUUGCCUUCCACUGGGCCUCAUUUUUUCAUUCAUACGACGCCCCAAAGCUGUCAUAACUCGGUCACAAUAUAUCAAGGAAGCCACUGAACUGGGAAAAAAGGCUGGAGGAUUGAAGAAAGCUAUUGAAGCUCUUCACCAGGAGGAGAGAAGUGGUUCUAAGGGGAGAAAAUGGCGCAAAAAUGUGAAGGCUGCUGAAAAGGAGUUGCUUAUUUUGGAAGAUGAUAUGAAAGCUUUAGAAGAAAUGUAUCCACAAGGAGAGAAGGCUGAGACUCUGUGGGCUCUAACUGUUCUUGGCUACUUGGGAAAGCUUGUAUUAGGGAUCAUUGGGUUGAUUGUUUCGGUGGCCUGGGUUGCACAUAUUAUUAUAUACUUGCUUAUCAGCCCACCUAUUUCUCCUUUCUUAAAUGAAGUUUUCAUCAAGUUGGAUAACGUGUGGGGUCUGUUAGGGACUGCAGCAUUUGCAUUUUUCUGUUUCUAUCUACUCCUUGCAGUGAUUGCUGGGGAGAUGAUGCUUGGAUUGAAGUUGGUUUUUAUUACUAUCCAUCCAAUGAAGUGGGGAGGGACUCUUAUGAACUCCUUUCUCUUUAAUGUGGGGCUCAUCCUGCUUUGCUCCAUCAGUGUGAUUCAGUUCUGCGCCACAGCUUUUGCUUACUAUUCACAAGCAACUGCCGCACAAGAAAUUUUUGGCCACACGCUGCAAUCUCUACGUGGAAUCAAAUAUCUAUACAAGUAUAAUGUGUUUCAAUAUGGUUUUGUUAUUCUGGCAAUUAUCACACUCUUCUGCUAUGCCGCAUUUGGAUGGAAAAAGAGAAAACCAAGUGGCAGCUUCCAACUAUCAAGUUGAUCUCUGUUGCUUGAGACCUUUAUGGUUAUAAGUUGGAUGGUUACAUGUAUGAUCUUAUACUGGAGGUGACCAUUUGAUGAUCUUUGAUGUAAAAAAUAGCCAAUGAGGUGAUAUUUGACUUGUUCAGUCAGGUCAACUUCAUCAAAUUCCCUGAAUCACGGUCGGAUGGGUUGGAUGCGUGUGCAAGCCUUGGGUGUGAAGGUGUGUGCCGGUCGCCAUGUCUUUGCCCAAGUUGCACUGGGCGAUCCAGAUAUCAUUCAUUCAUUCCUAGUCCAUGAUUACCAUUUUCUGUGUGAAAGAAUCGGUUCGUCAAGUUGGCAUCUUUCUUCGGUGGAUCCUUCUAUUCGGAGUCGUGGACCAGUGGACCCAGGCACUCGUCGCCACGGGGGAUUAUUCGAGUGCAGGAUUAUUAUUACUUUUUUUUAAUUUGGAGGAAGAAAUAGAAAUAUUAAAGAUUAAAGAUUUUUCUCCCUCUGCCUGCCUCCGUUUCCUUGGACUACUUGGUCGUGCUGAUUCCGUUCG